rnacentral:rRNA from 1 species
GACGUAGGGGGCGAGCGUUGUCCGAAGUGACUGGGCGUAAAGCGCGCGUAGGCGGCCCGUUAAGGGGGGGGUGAAAGGCUCCGGCUCAACCGGAGGAGGGCCUCUCCGACUGGCGGGCUUGAGGGCAGGAGAGGGGAGUGGAAUUCCUGGUGGAGCGGUGAAAUGCGUAGAGAUCAGGAAGAACACCCGUGGCGAAGGCGGCUCUCUGGUCUGUGCCUGACGCUGAGGUGCGAAGGCGUGGGGAGCGAACGGG